UUAAAAAGCUCGUNNNUGAACCUUGGGCCUGGCUGGCCGGUCCGCCUCACCGCGUGUACUGGUCCGGCCGGGCCUUUCCCUCUGUGGAACCCCAUGCCCUUCACUGGGUGUGGCGGGGAAACAGGACUUUUACUUUGAAAAAAUUAGAGUGCUCCAGGCAGGCCUAUGCUCGAAUACAUUAGCAUGGAAUAAUAGAAUAGGACGUGUGGUUCUAUUUUGUUGGUUUCUAGGACCGCCGUAAUGAUUAAUAGGGACAGUCGGGGG
rnacentral:rRNA from 1 species